CCUGGUCCGAAAGGAUCCUGGGUAAUCCGUUGAAACUCUUUCGUGAUGGGGAUAGGGAAUUGUAAUUAUUUUCCUUGAACGAGGAAUUCCUAGUAAGCGCGAGUCAUAAGCUCGCGUUGAUUAAGUCCCUGCCCUUUGUACACACCGCCCGUCGCUACUACCGAUUGAAUGAUUUAGUGAGGUCUUUGGACGGGUCUUGAUUCGGGACUAUGUUUCGAGCCAUGCGCCUGAAAAUUGAUCUAGCUCAGUCAUUUCGAGGAAGUAAAAGUCGUAACAAGGUUUCCGUAGGUGAACCUGCGGAAGGAUCAUUACCGUCGAACGACACCACCGAAGCCCCGAUCAUCGGGAAUAAGUGGUCGUCAAAAAUUUCCAGUCCCGAAGCCUCAGAAUGUUUCGGGUUUUAGGCAUUUUCGCCAUCUCAAUGGGAGGUCUCCGAAGAUUAUCACGGUUUAGCGUCAUUUAUGAUGCGAUAUCGGGAUACUCGGAAAGGGCUUAGGCCUUAAACGUUCAUCCGCUGAUAAUGAUGGGCUACCUCUCUAAAUAUUUUUCGAAAAGUUUGUUAUUCAACCAAAAAUUCAGUUAAAACACUUCUCCCUAUUAUAAGGGGGAAAAAAUAAAAUCGUCUUUGAGCGGUGGAUCACUCGGUUCGUGCUUCGAUGAAGAACGCGGCGAAACGCGAGAGUUAGUGUGAAUUGCAGGACACACUGAACAUCGAUACUUCGAAUGCACUUUGCGGCUCGGGGUCGAACUCCGAGCCUCGCUCGUCUGAGGGUCGUCAAACAAAAAGCUUUACGGCGCACGUUAGCGACGUAUUUCGCGGGUACUAGGAUUUCAAAUCCCGGGCUCGUUAGAUGCAGAGUGAUUUCGUCGAAAGUGCCCUUCGUUUUCGAGUCUUCGACGGGUCGAACGGAAGUUAAUGACGCGUCUGACUUAAUUGGAGGAGCCGGCGAGAGCCCACUAUUAUACUAGUAAAAAUUCGUAUUCCGACCUCAGAUCGAACGAGAAUACCCGCUGAAUUUAAGCAUAUUAAUAAGCGGAGGAAAAGAAACUAACGAGGAUUCCUAC
rnacentral:rRNA from 1 species